rnacentral:rRNA from 1 species
CCUCAUACAGGGGGAUAACAGUUGGAAACGACUGCUAAUACCGCAUAAGCGCACAGGAUUGCAUGAUCCAGUGUGAAAAACUCCGGUGGUAUGAGAUGGACCCGCGUCUGAUUAGCCAGUUGGCGGGGUAACGGCCCACCAAAGCGACGAUCAGUAGCCGACCUGAGAGGGUGACCGGCCACAUUGGGACUGAGACACGGCCCAAACUCCUACGGGAGGCAGCAGUGGGGAAUAUUGCACAAUGGGGGAAACCCUGAUGCAGCGACGCCGCGUGAGCGAAGAAGUAUUUCGGUAUGUAAAGCUCUAUCAGCAGGGAAGAAGAAUGACGGUACCUGACUAAGAAGCACCGGCUAAAUACGUGCCAGCAGCCGCGGUAAUACGUAUGGUGCAAGCGUUAUCCGGAUUUACUGGGUGUAAAGGGAGCGCAGGCGGUACGGCAAGUCUGAUGUGAAAUCCCGGGGCUCAACCCCGGUACUGCAUUGGAAACUGUCGGACUAGAGUGUCGGAGGGGUAAGUGGAAUUCCUAGUGUAGCGGUGAAAUGCGUAGAUAUUAGGAGGAACACCAGUGGCGAAGGCGGCUUACUGGACGAUUACUGACGCUGAGGCUCGAAAGCGUGGGGAGCAAACAGGAUUAGAUACCCGGGUAGUCCACGCCGUAAACGAAGAAUACUAGGUGUCGGGGAGCAUUGCUCUUCGGUG